rnacentral:rRNA from 1 species
AACGAACGCUGGCGGCAUGCCUAACACAUGCAAGUCGAACGAGGCCUUCGGGCUUAGUGGCGCACGGGUGCGUAACACGUGGGAAUCUGCCCUUCGGUUCGGAAUAACAGUUAGAAAUGACUGCUAAUACCGGAUGAUGACGAAAGUCCAAAGAUUUAUCGCCGAAGGAUGAGCCCGCGUAGGAUUAGGUAGUUGGUAGGGUAAUGGCCUACCAAGCCGACGAUCCUUAGCUGGUCUGAGAGGAUGAUCAGCCACACUGGGACUGAGACACGGCCCAGACUCCUACGGGAGGCAGCAGUGGGGAAUAUUGGACAAUGGGCGAAAGCCUGAUCCAGCAAUGCCGCGUGAGUGAUGAAGGCCUUAGGGUUGUAAAGCUCUUUUACCAGGGAUGAUAAUGACAGUACCUGGAGAAUAAGCUCCGGCUAACUCCGUGCCAGCAGCCGCGGUAAU